rnacentral:rRNA from 1 species
GACGAACGCUGGCGGCGUGCUUAACACAUGCAAGUCGAACGGAAAGGCCUGCUUUCCCUUGUGGACUGCGGGUACUCGAGUGGCGAACGGGUGAGUAACACGUGAGUGAUCUGCCCCCAACUUGGGUAUAAGCCUGGGAAACUGGGUCUAAUUCCCGAUAGGACUGCAGGGUGGUGCCUGUGGUGGAAAACGAUUUUCUAGUGGUUGGGGAUGAGCUCGCGGCCUAUCAGCUUGUUGGUGGGGUAAUGGCCUACCAAGGCGGCGACGGGUAGCCGGCCUGAGAGGGUGGACGGCCACAUUGGGACUGAGAUACGGCCCAGACUCCUACGGGAGGCAGCAGUGGGGAAUAUUGCACAAUGGGCGGAAGCCUGAUGCAGCGACGCCGCGUGGGGGAUGACGGCCUUCGGGUUGUAAACUCCUUUCGACCGCGAGGAAGCCACCUGGUUGGAAGGGUGGUGACGGUAGUGGUAGAAGAAGCACCGGCUAACUACGU